rnacentral:rRNA from 1 species
UACGUAGGGAGCAAGCGUUGUCCGGAAUCAUUGGGCGUAAAGCGCGCGUAGGCGGCCUCAUAAGUCCGUUGUGAAAGUCAAAGGCUCAACCUUUGAAAGCCGAUGGAUACUGUGAGGCUAGAGUCCGGAAGAGGCGAGUGGAAUUCCUGGUGUAGCGGUGGAAUGCGCAGAUAUCAGGAGGAACACCAAUAGCGAAGGCAGCUCGCUGGGACGGUACUGACGCUAAGGAGCGAAAGCGUGGGGAGCGAACAGG